rnacentral:rRNA from 1 species
GUAGUCAUAUGCUUGUCUCAAAGAUUAAGCCAUGCAUGUCUAAGUAUAAGCAAUUACAAAGCGAAACUGGGGAUGGCUCAUUAUAUAAGUUAUCGUUUAUUUGAUAGUACCUUACACAUGGAUAACCGUGGUAAUUCUAGAGCUAAUACAUGCUGAAAAUCCCGACUUCGGAAGGGAUGUAUUUAUUAGAUACAAAACCAAUGCCCUUCGGGGCUCUCUUGGUGAUUCAUGAUAACUUCUCGAAUCGCACGGCCCCGCGCCGGCGAUGGUUCAUUCAAAUUUCUUCCCU